rnacentral:rRNA from 1 species
AUUGAACGCUGGCGGCAUGCUUUACACAUGCAAGUCGAACGGCAGCACGGGGGCAGCCCUGGUGGCGAGUGGCGAACGGGUGAGUAAUACAUCGGAACGUGCCCGGUCGUGGGGGAUAACGUAGCGAAAGUUACGCUAAUACCGCAUACGAUCUGAGGAUGAAAGCGGGGGACCUUCGGGCCUCGCGCGAUCGGAGCGGCCGAUGUCAGAUUAGGUAGUUGGUGGGGUAAAGGCCUACCAAGCCGACGAUCUGUAGCUGGUCUGAGAGGACGACCAGCCACACUGGGACUGAGACACGGCCCAGACUCCUACGGGAGGCAGCAGUGGGGAAUUUUGGACAAUGGGCGCAAGCCUGAUCCAGCCAUUCCGCGUGCAGGACGAAGGCCUUCGGGUUGUAAACUGCUUUUGUACGGAACGAAAAGGCUCUGGCUAAUACCUGGGGCUCAUGACGGUACCGGAAGAAUAAGCACCGGCUAACUACGUG